CCCAAAGUGCUGGGAUUACAGACGUGUGCCACCAUGCUCAGCCCCACACUCGUCUUUAAGAAAAUUAAAAUAAAAUUGUUUUAAACACAGUGUCUGGCACAGAAUAGAUGCUCAAUAAACACCAGCUGCUACAAUUAGAGGGGAAAUCAUCAUAAUUGUUGGAUUAAAACAUAAUAAAAGACCCCAGUUGCCUUGUUCAAGGCAGUAUUUUCAGAAGCAAAGUUUUAAAAGUUUAAAAAGAGGUCAGUAUUUUAAGUCAUGUCAGCUCCACAGCCACGGAAGUGCUGGAAAGGCACCAAGCCUCCUCUCGGUUUGCAGUGAAACGCUCCUCUUCCGUCUGAGGGCUAUCGUUCCAGCAGAGAUCAACACAAUGGACUCUGGGAUGGACAUUGUUCUCCAACAGGCCUGGCCCUGGCCCAGCUGGGGUGAGCAUUUCCUUUGCAGCAUUCCAAGAGGCGACAGUCCCAAAAGAUAAUUAAAAAUCAGCUAGCGGUGGUGACCAAGAGAAAGGCACUGAGCCCUCCGAGUGUGGAGAUAGGGCAUCCCGGGUUAUUAAUUAAGUGUGCUCACAUUUGCAUGGUGUAGAGGACAAUUAUCAAGCUGGAGCUGUCAGCUUUAAAUGCUGUUUGCAUUUCUGGAUGACUUUUUGGCGAAGAGGGUCAGGGAGGCUCUCUAAAGUCAUUUUUGGGAGUCUGGAGGAAUAGUUAGCAAUUCGCACUUCACCUCGUUUUACCCUGCAACUCCAUGGAAAUUCCAGAAAGUCUUGGUUUUAAUGGUCUCUUGCAUAGGCCCAUGACAUGGGUCAUCUCUCUCCUACCUCCUUCCAUGCUGAACAAAUGGAAAGGCAUGUAACAUAGUGUGGCAAGGACUUAGGAGUCCAGAAGCUCCCAGAUGUGUGCACCUGUGGAAUCCGCCACCACACCCUCCACACACCAGCCUCUGCAACCAGACAGAGAGAGGAGAGGUAAGGGGUGAGGAUGUGAUUGAUUUCCAUCCUCGGCCCUCCAAGGAGGAGGCUGCCAAAGAAAACAAAGGCCACUGCAGGGGGGCAGCUCGUGGUGACAACCUGCACUGGGGCCGGAGGGCAGCCAGCAUGGCACCUGGAUCUGAUCAAGAUGAAGUUUUCAUCCCCAUCUGCCUGUUAAUGUCUUCUUUACCAGUUGCCACCCCCUAAUAAGGGGUAUGCCGUAGACUGGAAGUCACUAGGGACCUGCCCAGCAUCCUGUUCUAGGCAUUGACUAAUCCACUCUCCUACAUCCUGCCUCCCAUCCACAUGGUCCAAUCAGAGGCUGCCAUGCUUGCACAAUGUGACACUGUCUCUAUGGACACAUUAAUUGGUCCUGAUGUAGAACUUGACCCAAGAUCAGGGUCAAGUUGAGAGAAGACUUAUUUUCUUUCCAGGUGUUUCAAUAACAUGUAAAACUUGGAAUUCGAUAGCAGCCAUCUUCUGCCAUGAGAAUUGGGAAGAGAGAAAGCCUAUAGUGAUAAUAAAGUCAAAUUAUCCUAAACGCU
rnacentral:lncRNA from 1 species